rnacentral:rRNA from 1 species
CAGCCGCCGCGGGAAUACGGAGGGUGCAAGCGUUAAUCGGAAUUACUGGGCGUAAAGCGCACGCAGGCGGUUUGUUAAGUCAGAUGUGAAAUCCCCGGGCUCAACCUGGGAACUGCAUUUGAAACUGGCAAGCUAGAGUCUCGUAGAGGGGGGUAGAAUUCCAGGUGUAGCGGUGAAAUGCGUAGAGAUCUGGAGGAAUACCGGUGGCGAAGGCGGCCCCCUGGACGAAGACUGACGCUCAGGUGCGAAAGCGUGGGGAGCAAACAGGAUUAGAUACCCGAGUAGUCCCUGUCUCUUAUAC